rnacentral:rRNA from 1 species
AUUGAACGCUGGCGGCAGGCUUAACACAUGCAAGUCGAGCGGGGGCUUCGGUCCUAGCGGCGAACGGGUGAGGAAUGCUUGGGAAUCUGCCUGGUAGUGGGGGAUAACGUUUCGAAAGGAACGCUAAUACCGCAUACGUCCUACGGGAGAAAGGGGGGGAUCUUCGGACCUCUCGCUAUCAGAUGAGCCCAAGUCGGAUUAGCUAGUUGGUGAGGUAAAGGCUCACCAAGGCGACGAUCCGUAGCUGGUCUGAGAGGAUGAUCAGCCACACUGGAACUGAGACACGGUCCAGACUCCUACGGGAGGCAGCAGUGGGGAAUAUUGGACAAUGGGCGAAAGCCUGAUCCAGCCAUGCCGCGUGUGUGAAGAAGGCCUUCGGGUUGUAAAGCACUUUAAGCGAGGAGGAAUGGCUCUGGGUUAAUACCCUUGAGCAGUGACGUUACUCGCAGAAUAAGCACCGGCUAACUCUGUGCCAGCCGCCGCCGUAAGAC